UUCCGGUUGAUCCUGCCGGAAGUUACUGCUAUCGAGGUUCGACUAAGCCAUGCGAGUCGAAUGUAGCAAUACAUGGCGAACUGCUCAGUAACACGUGGACAACCUGCCCUUAGGUUGGGUAUAAACCCGGGAAACUGGGUAUAAUACCCGAUAGGUCUCGAUUGCUGGAAUGCAUCGAGAUUUAAAGCUCCGGCGCCUAAGGAUGGGUCUGCGGCCUAUCAGGUAGUAGUGGGUGUAGCGUACCUACUAGCCUACGACGGGUACGGGUUGUGAGAGCAAGAGCCCGGAGAUGGAUUCUGAGACACGAAUCCAGGCCCUACGGGGUGCAGCAGGCGCGAAAACUUUACAAUGCUGGCAACAGCGAUAAGGGAACCUCGAGUGCCAGGUUACAAAUCUGGCUGUCGAGAUGCCUAAAAAGCAUUUCAUAGCAAGGGCCGGGCAAGACCGGUGCCAGCCGCCGCGGUAACACCGGCGGCUCGAGUGGUAACCGUUAUUAUUGGGUCUAAAGGGUCUGUAGCCGGCCGGAUAAGUCUCUUGAGAAAUCUGGCAGCUUAACUGUCAGGCUUUCAGGAGAUAGUGUCUGGCUCGAGGCCGGGAGAGGUGAGAGGUACUUCAGGGGUAGGGGUGAAAUCUUGUAAUCCUUGAAGGACCACCAGUGGCGAAGGCGUCUCACCAGAACGGACCUGACGGCAAGGGACGAAAGCUAGGGGCACGAACCGGAUUAGAUACCCGGGUAGUCCUAGCCGUAAACGAUACUCGCUAGGUGUCGGCCACGGUGCGACCGUUGUCGGUGCCGUAGGGAAGCCGUGAAGCGAGCCACCUGGGAAGUACGGCCGCAAGGCUGAAACUUAAAGGAAUUGGCGGGGGAGCACCACAACGGGUGGAGCUUGCGGUUUAAUUGGGAGUCAACGCCGG
rnacentral:rRNA from 1 species